AGCUCCACUAGCGUAUAUUAAACGUGUUGCAGUUAAAUAGCUCGUAAUUGAAUUUAUGGUGGGAGGGAUUGGUCCAGCACUCAGUGUUGGAACUUGUAUCCUCUCUGGCCAUCCUUGGGUGGAUCUUGUCUAUCAUUAAGUUGUCGGUCAGGGGAUGCCCAUUGUUUACUGUGACAAAGGAGAGUGUUCAAAGCAGGCUUAUAGCAUUGAAUAUAUUAGGAUGUGAUAAUAAGAUAGGGCCCUAGUGUUAUUUUGUUAGUUUGUGUACCAAGGUAAUGCUUAAUAGGGACAGUUGGGGGUAUUUGUAUUCCGUAUUCAGUGGUGAAAUACUUAGACCUACGGAAUACAAACUACUGCGAAAGCAUUUACCAAUGAUGUUUUCA
rnacentral:rRNA from 1 species